rnacentral:lncRNA from 1 species
CUUAGUUAUACCAAAAGAGGUAUUGUAUAAGUUGUUAUUUUUAUCUUAAUCUGAUAAAUACACUUCCAAUUUGUGAAUAUGCAUGAUCACAGAAUAAUUUGCUGCAGAGUAACUCUCUUAGCAGGCACCAAAGUGAUCUUUAAUGUCUUUCUCAACAGAUAAAACAACUUUAUUCUUCAUAAGUCAAACAAAGACCUUUUUCUGGAGCUGGGACAGGAAUUCCAGUCUGCUAUGUUAUUGCCUCCUAUGAUCAAAUGAUGUAGGGAAAAUUAAGAAACACAUGGAGCAUAUCAAGAAAGGGAGCAGGCAUAGUGGGAAGUUAUUUACUUUCUAUUUCAAAACAGUUACAUCGCAUUUAUGAAGUGUCAGGCAUGGUUCCACUUAAAAUACUGACCACUGAAUGCUUUAAUAGUUCAAGUGUGGCAGAAAUAAUAUGUAUCUGUAGGAUCUGAUACACAAAAGAGCAUCAGAAGUGUCUCUGAACAUGGAAUUACUGAGAGCAUUGGGCCAACCCCUAGCUCUGCAUUCUGUCCAGGCAUUCUAACCGGCACGUUCCCAGGGGCUCACUUCUCACCAAUACCGUCUGUGACUCCCGCUUCUGAGGAUGCUAAGCAUUGCAACGCUGCUUUGCUGCUCUGAUCAAGGUUUUCCUUUGCUCUGCACCUUCCCCACAGUUCUGUAACAUCUUAAGCGUGACUUAAAGUCCAAUUCCAGAAAAGCCUCCUUUUUAGAGAAUUUCAGAGAAACUUCCAAAGUCCAUCUCUCCAAAUACUUCAUUCCACUUCUAUUAAACCACUUUUAGCAUUAGCUUGGUAGCAGAAUCAUCCACGGGUAUGGCUGACUUUUCUCCUGGAUACCAAACUUUUGGAGAGCAGGAACUAUUUUAACAGGUUCAAGCAACAUGGAGGAACCUUGAGAUUCUGUGGACCCAGGCACACCUCUUCCAGACAAAGCCUGUGUAGGGUCAGAGCCAGAGCUCAACACAAUUUUGACCUGCUUGUCCUUCUAUGAUAAGGAUGGCCCUCCAAUAAGCCAAUGAGUAGAUACUGGGCACUCAAAUAUGCCGGGCGUAGCAUCAUAGAACUAAGGAAGAAAUAAGGGAAAACGAAAAAGAAUCAUCAUGUAUUUAUUAAUAGGCCACCAAAUUGAAAUUUUUAGCCUUCAUCCUUAAAGUACCAUUUUGAAGAAAUAUCCUACUACUUUUCCUCAUUUGUGAACUGCAAAUGCUACGAGUUGUCAUUGGAUCUGAACACAAGCCUUCUCUACUAGGAAGCACAAUGCUGAUGUCUGCAUUGGAAUGCGUGGUAAACUCCAGCAAGGUGGAG